GAAUAUGCAAAGUAUGCAUGAACUCUUAUAAUUACAACACUUAUAUCCAUUUAUCUUCUCUUUAAACAAAUUAAAUUAAAUUUCUCUCAACUUUCAUAUUCUGUCUAUCCCCUUAUGAGUCUGUUGGCGAUAGGCUGCCGCCACCACCAGUCACCCCUCUUUCUCUUUAUCUUUCGAUUAAACUUAAUUUAUCUUAAUUCUUAUUUUCUCUCCACCCACCACUCAGAGUCUGGAGGCAGCAACCUCCACCGGCCGAACAACGCGACCAUAAGCCAUGGAUGGCUCUCUGAACUAUGCAACCACCGAACCUGUAGAAGUAAAAUCGCAUUUAAUCUGAUGUAUUUAUUUGUGUUGUAUUUUUUAUCUUUAAGGAAAAUAUGUUUAUUGUUUGUUUUAUGAGAUUGAUGCUAAAAAUAAGAUAUUUAUUAGGAUGUGUAGAAUAUUUAUUAUUUGUUUUAUGAAUUUGAGAA
rnacentral:lncRNA from 1 species